rnacentral:rRNA from 1 species
GCUGGCGGCGUGCCUAAUACAUAGCAAGUCGAACGGCUUUUCUAUGGAAGCUUGCUUCCACUGAGAAGAUAGUGGCAACGGGUGAGUAACACGUGGGUAACCUGCCCAUAAGAGGGGGAUAACAUCCGGAAACGGGUGCUAAUACCGCAUAGUUUUCUUGAUCGCAUGAUUGAGAAAGGAAAGACGGCCUUUGUGCUGUCGCUUAUGGAUGGACCCGCGGCGUAUUAGUUAGUUGGUGAGGUAACGGCUCACCAAGACGAUGAUACGUAGCCGACCUGAGAGGGUGAUCGGCCACAUUGGGACUGAGACACGGCCCAAACUCCUACGGGAGGCAGCAGUAGGGAAUCUUCCGCAAUGGACGAAAGUCUGACGGAGCAACGCCGCGUGAGUGAAAGAAGGUUUUUCGGAUCGUAAAACUCUGUUGUCAGAGAAGAACAAGUUGGAGAGUAACUGCUCCAGCCUUGACGGUAUCUGACCAGAAAGCCACGGCUAACUACGUGCCAGCCGCCGC